UAAUGAAGCCUGCCUGGCUCCCUGAAUGCCAUCUGAGAAGCUUAUCAAAAGAGUUUGAUGCACCUCCUAGUUGGCAUACAGGGCAGCCAAGCAGACAUAUAUA
rnacentral:pre_miRNA from 1 species